GUUCUUUCGCAGAGGCGAUAUCAUAGCCUAUGAAGUCCAUCUGAGGCGUGAUUAUUGCUGGUUGAAAAACUUAACCCAAUACCCCGCUUGGGAUGACUUGAAACAUAGUCAGCCUUGGCAAUUUUUGAUAGUCUCAUGUGAGA
ensembl:snRNA U4 U4 spliceosomal RNA